rnacentral:rRNA from 2 species
UACGUAGGUGGCAAGCGUUAUCCGGAAUUACUGGGCGUAAAGCGCACGCAGGCGGUCUUUUAAGUUUGACGUGAAAGCUCCCGGCUUAACUGGGAGAGGUCGUUGAAUACUGGAAGACUUGAGGAAAUGAGAGGGGUGUAGAAUUCCCGGUGUAGUGGUGGAAUGCGUAGAUAUCGGGGGGAAUACCAGUGGCGAAAGCGGCACCCUAGCAUUUUUCUGACGCUCAUGUGCGAAAGCGUGGGGAGCGAACGGG